rnacentral:snRNA from 1 species
GGAUGUGAAUGUGAUCAUGCUAUGGAAUCUGUGUUCUUGAUGAUUGUCAUGGUUGAUUCUGAUGAUCUGGCUAGGUAGGUCAGCUUUCUCUUCUCCCUUACUGUCCUUCUUUUUAUCCCACCUGAAGCUGCCUGCUCCACUGAAGAGGACAAUCUUCCCCUGGUACAUGAGGAUCAGUAUUUGAUCAAAGGUAUAUUUCUUCCCUCCUAUAACCCCCAAACAAGCUGCCAACAAUUGGGCAUAUACUCUAAAAGAAUAAAUAGUUAGUUUGAAUGGGAACAGAAGUCUGUUGUUUCUAGUU